rnacentral:rRNA from 1 species
GACAGAGGUGCCGAGCGUUAGGCGGAAUCACUGGGCUUAAAGCGUGUGUAGGCGGAUGCCUAAGUACCUUGUGAAAUCCCACGGCUCAACCGUGGAACUGCUGGGUAUACUGGGCGUCUUGGGCCAACUAGGGGUCGCUGGAACAAAUGGUGGAGCGGUGAAAUGCGUAGAUAUCAUUUGGAACGCCAAGGGCGAAAGCAAGCGACUGGGGUUGUGCCGACGCUGAGACACGAAAGCCAGGGGAGCGAACGGG